UACGUAGGUCGCAAGCGUUAUCCGGAAUUAUUGGGCGUAAAGCGCGCGCAGGCGGUUUUUUAAGUCUGAUGUGAAAGGCCACGGCUCAACCGUUGUGAGUCAUUGGAAACAGGAAAACUUGAGUGCAGAAGAGGAGAGUGGAAUUCUAUGUGUAGCGGUGAAAUGCGCAGAGAUAUGGAGGAACACCAGUGGCGAAGGCGACUUUCUGGUCUGUAACUGACGCUGAUGUGCGAAAGCGUGGGGAUCAAACAGG
rnacentral:rRNA from 1 species